GAAGCUCUGAGAACAGCAACCUCAGAUGGAUCAGAACCCACCGGUCCGGUUAAACGAGUCCAUUUGGACCAGUUGAUUCCCAGUCGAACCUGCAGCUCCUAAACUCUGAGAUAAUAAAGUUUCUGUUAAAUGACAGCAGGCUGACGGAGGGGAAGACGUCAGCAAACAUCACCGGGUCCGGGAAUCGAACCACGUUGAGGACUCAAGGCCUCCAAACACCACCGCGGCACGCUCAAUUUCCUGUUCCUGCAGCGCCCCCUUCUGGAUGGACAUGAAGCGAGCAGCAGGAAUCAGCUGAUCAGAACCGUUUUGGGUCGGAACACAAGGAUCGAUAACGGACCGAUCAGAAGCCUCAAAAGUUUCAUGA